rnacentral:siRNA from 1 species
CUCGUUCUACCCUCAUACCUCAAU